GAGACUCUGUGCGCGUGCAUAUCAAUAAGCGGAGGAAAAGAAACUAACAAGGAUUCCCUUAGUAACGGCGAGUGAAGCGGGAAGAGCUCAAAUUUGAAAUCUUCAAGGUUCUACCUUGACGAAUUGUAGUUUAUAGAAGUGUUUUCUGUUAGUGGAGUGGCAAAAGUUCUUUGGAAUAGGACAUCAUAGAGGGUGAGAAUCCCGUAUUUGGUCAUUCCUCCUAGCGUUGUGAUACACUUUCAACGAGUCGGAUUGUUUGGGAAUGCAGUCCAAAAUGGGUGGUAAAUUUCAUCUAAAGCUAAAUAUUGGCGAGAGACCGAUAGCGAACAAGUACCGUGAGGGAAAGAUGAGAAGAACUUUGAAAAGAGAGUUAAACAGUACGUGAAAUUGUCAAAAGGGAAGCGUUUGACACCAGUGUUGUUUUUCCGAAAAUCAAUUACGAAUGUUUUAGUUUUUGAGGAGUUAUGACUUCAUCGGCUUGCUUCUCUCUUUAUGAAACUUUCUUAAUGCACCUUUUCGGUUAACAAGUCAACAUCAAUUUCUUUUGUUGUAAAAGGGUAUGAGGAAGGUGGCUUUCUUUUCGGAGAAAGUGUUUAUAGCCUUGUAGCCUCUGCAAUCGGAGAGAUUGAGGUCUGCAGCGUAGAUCCUUCGGGGUUAGAUACAUUUGUGCUAAGUUAUAGCUUUUCAUAGACAACUUGUUGACUAUGUUUAGUCUUGUAGCUUACUCGCUUAUGCUAUUUUACCUACGCUUAGGAUGUUGACAGCAGUAUAGACUGU
rnacentral:rRNA from 1 species